GCAGUUAUGGCGGAAUUGGCAGACGCGCAGGAUUUAGGUUCCUGUAUCGCAAGAUGUGUGGGUUCAAGUCCCACUAACUGCA
rnacentral:tRNA from 1 species